ACAUUUUGCAUUUUUAUUCUUCAGAUCCUCCACGUCUCUACAGAAACAUCCAUUUGGGUGUGAGCAAAGGUUUAGUUCCCACAGCCGUGCGUGGGCCUCCCGUGUUCAAGCCCAUUAAAACAAAGAGUGAAGGAGAUCUGCUGGCACCAGGCCCUGUGCAAAGCUCACUGGGGCUGAUGAGUUUUCCUGAUAACUUUGAGGACUUUGGACCCUGCCCUUUGGCACUUGUGCCUGAGUGCCCUCAGAAGGGAUUUAUGCCCUGUGGGUAAGAGAGGGAGCUGCUGGGAAGCCUGUUCCAUUUUCUCAUCCACAGAGGGUUUUUGUAUUAAAAGAUGUGUUUUGGGUAGGGCAGAUAAAACUUGUGCAACAUCAUUAUCUGUGUUUCUGCAGGAGAAUCACUUACAGGCUCUCUCACAGCGUAUGGAGGGAUGUGCUGGCCUGAAUCUGCUUCAGGAUGCAUUUGUGCUGGGGAUGGUUUGGAUCUGUUUGGAUCAUUUGUGCCAAGACAGAGAAACAGCAAAAGCAUCAUGCUCUGAAUGCUCAUUGGAAGGAUUUUGCUCUUGCCAAUUUCAGACUAGUUUCCAACCAGCUUCUGCCAUGGAAGGUUUUGUUUGGAAGCACCAUUCCACAAGGAAAACAAUUGUGUUUUUGCUUGAAAUUGCACAGUUCUCCAUAUUUCCUUAUCUUUAGCUAAGUGGCCAUCACCUCCUAAUUAUAGUUUCCUCUUUUUUUAACUACUGUGCUCAAUUUACAGCCUCUCUAAUUACUCUUACCUUGUUUGUUUAAUGAAGCUUAUAUAAUGAUUCCUGUGAUCUUCAUGAAACGUUACGCUGGGAUUUUACUUUUCACUUUAUAAACUGCGAUUUUAUAUUAAUGUUUUUAACCUCAGGUUUCUAAUCAUAAAGUCAUAAGGAGUUUAAUUGAUUUGAAACUAGCCAUGCCCUGAAGUGUGUACAUGUCAGAUUGAUUCAAAUUGAUCCAACGUGUUUAAAUAAAACUCAUGCCAAAAGCCCGUCGCA
rnacentral:lncRNA from 1 species